AUUUGUAAGAAUACUUUUGUGUCUAUGAAAAGCAAUUCAAUUCCCAUUAAUAAGUUUGGCUUUUGGAAGUUGCGGGUUUUCCAACAAUGAAUCCACCUAACAAAAAGUUCGUUGUUAUAAAAAAUCUCCUUCAAGGUCAUUAAAGGUUUUUGGGACGGCAAGAAUUGAUGGUGGAACCAUUUUUUUGCUCGAGUGCUUUGAAGUUUUCCUUGAUUGUGUGAGGUUGAUGUUGAUGGGAUAAUCAGUUUUAUAGGAACUUUCUUGAUGUAAAACUAUACAUUUUUUUUUGUUUAAUGUAGUAUUUCCAUUUUUAUAUAAUUUACUACCAUUUUAAGAUAGAUGUACAUUUUAAGAUAGAUGUUUAAAUCUUAAUGUACUUUUUUCAUUUUUUAAAAUGUUUAUUUUCAUUUCUUAUAUUUUUACUUACGUAAUAUCUAUAUUUUAUAUUUUAAAAUAGAUAUUUAAAUCUUAAUGUACUUUUUCCAUUUUUUUUAAUUGUGUAUUUAC
rnacentral:lncRNA from 1 species